AUUGAACGCUGGCGGCAUGCCUUACACAUGCAAGUCGAACGGUAACAGGUCUUCGGAUGCUAACGAGUGGCGAACGGGCGAGCAAUACAUCGGAACGUGCCUAGUAGUGGGGGAUAACUACUCGAAAGAGUGGCUAAUACCGCAUGAGAUCUACGGAUGAAAGCAGGGGAUCGCAAGACCCUGUGCUACUAGAGCGGCCGAUGGCAGAUUAGGUAGUUGGUGGGAUAAAAGCUUACCAAGCCGACGAUCUGUAGCUGGUCUGAGAGGACGAUCAGCCACACUGGGACUGAGACACGGCCCAGACUCCUACGGGAGGCAGCAGAGGGGAAUUUUGGACAAUGGGCGAAAGCCUGAUCCAGCAAUGCCGCGUGCAGGACGAAGGCCUUCGGGUUGUAAACUGCUUUUGUACGGAACGAAAAGCCCCGGGUUAAUACCCUGGGGUCAUGACGGUACCGUAAGAAUAAGCACCGACUAACUACGUGCCAGCAGCCGCCGUAA
rnacentral:rRNA from 1 species